rnacentral:rRNA from 1 species
AGUAGUUUUUUAAUUGAAAACUUGUAUGAAAGGUUUAACGAAAUAUUGACUGUUUCAUAAAAAUUUAUAUAGAAAUUAAUUUUUUAGUCAAAAAGCUAAAAUAAAUUUAAAAGACGAGAAGACCCUAUAGAUUUUUAUAAUUUAUUUUAUAUAAUUUAUUUAUAAUAAUUAAAAUUUUAUAAAAUAAAUUAUUUUGUUGGGGUGACAGUAAAAUUUUACAAUCUUUUAUUUAUUUUUAACAAUGAUAUUUGAUUUAUUGAUCCAUUAUUAAUGAUUAAAAGAUUAAAUUACCUUAGGGAUAACAGCGUAAUUUUUUUAUAGAGUUCAUAUCGAAAAAGAAUUUUGC